UUCUAUGUUGCUCAUUUGUAAAUGUCCUAACUUCUGAAUACUAUGUUAGACAAAAUACUGAUUUUGCCUCUGCCAAAAUAAUUGAACUUUAGGCAACCAAAAAUUUAUACUGUACAUUUCGCAUAUUCUGCAAAUUGAAGCAUUUUUGUGUACCACUCACCCACAAAAAUAAGUUUCAGGAAAAUUUAUUGUGCAAAUAAUUUGUACCCUUGGUAAGUUUAGGCUCUUACAACAAUUUUGAAUGCAUAUUGAAAUUGAAAAAAAAAAGUUAUAAAGGUAUUGCUUAUAGCCUGGAAAAGAUUUGAGGUCAGCCAUAAUCUAACACAGCCAUUAUCAGCAUUUCCAAAAAAAUGUUGACAGAGUAAACUGCAAACAUUAAUUUGUGAAAAAUGAAUCACUAAAACUAAUAUAUAUUUAUAUAAUUUAUUUUAGUCUUAUUUUGGUUAAUAG